rnacentral:rRNA from 1 species
CAACUUUAUUAGAAGAGACGCAUUUAUUAGAUAAAAAGCCAGUUCAUGCUUUUACAGUAUGAAAAUUGGUGAUUUAUAAUAACUUAGCAAAUCGCAAAGUGAAAACAGGCGAUAAAUCAUUCAAGUUUCUGACCUAUCAGCUUUCGACGGUAUGGUAUUGGCUUACCGUGGCAGUGACGGUUAACGGGGGAUUAGGGUUCGAUUCCGGAGAGGGAGCCUGAGAAACGGCUACCACAUCUAAGGAAGGCAGCAGGCGCGCAAAUUACCCAAUUCUAACAGUUUGAGAGAGGUAGUAACAAGAAAUAACAAUACAAGGCAGUUAAAAUGCUUUGUAAUUGGAAUGAUAGAAAUUUAAACCCUUUUUAAAGUAUCAAUUGGAGGGCAAGUCUGGUGCCAGCAGCCGCGGUAAUUCCAGCUCCAAUAGCGUAUAUUAAAAUUGUUGCAGUUAAAAAGCUCGUAGUUGAAGUUCUGCUGAAAGUAACCGGUCUGCUUUUAAUAAA